AACGAACGCUGGCGGCAUGCCUAACACAUGCAAGUCGAACGAGACCUUCGGGUCUAGUGGCGCACGGGUGCGUAACGCGUGGGAACCUGCCCUUAGGUUCGGAAUAACUCCCCGAAAGGGGUGCUAAUACCGGAUAAUGUCUUCGGACCAAAGAGUUAUCGCCUUUGGAUGGGCCCGCGUUGGAUUAGCUAGUUGGUAGGGUAAAAGCCUACCAAGGCGACGAUCCAUAGCUGGUCUGAGAGGAUGAUCAGCCACACUGGGACUGAGACACGGCCCAGACUCCUACGGGAGGCAGCAGUGGGGAAUAUUGGACAAGGGGCGAAAGCCUGAUCCAGCAAUGCCGCGUGAGUGAUGAAGGCCUUAGGGUUGUAAAGCUCUUUUAACCGGGAUGAUAAUGACAGUACCGGGAGAAUAAGCUCCGGCUAACUCCGUG
rnacentral:rRNA from 1 species